UCUUCUUCAUUUAGCUUAAUAACCCUAGCUUAUACCAUGGCUCCAAAUAUGUGGAAUGUUCUAUCAGAAUCUAAAAGCAUAGUAAAUUCUCAACCUCAUCACUACCUCACUCUCUCCCUCAUCUUCCUCCUACCUCUCUCUUUCUUAUCCCUCCUCUUCCAAUUCAUUUCCAAAAACUUUCAACAGCAACUCUCCACAAACCCCACCACAAUCAUCUCCUUGUAUCUCCUCUUCAUCAUUCUCUCUUGCAUCAUCGCCUUUGGCGCCGUCAUCACCAUCACCUACAGCGUCUUCCACGCUUGCUUUAACCGACCAGUCAAACUCAAAGAAGCCCUCAAAUCCAUCAUCACUUCCUUCUUCCCCCUCCUCGCCACCGCAACAGUUGCAUUCGUCGUCUUCUUCUUCAUAUUUUUUCUAUUUGGACUUCUCAUUGGACUUGUAUUGUUUCUCAUCACUUACCUAGGCCAUGUCGACCUCAAAACUAACCCUAACUUGGUUGCGUUAUGUUUCAUGGUACUUUUCAUGAUUGUUUUACUCCCUCUUGUGACGUAUUUGCUAGUUAACUUGAGCUUUAUGAAAAUUAUUGUGGUGGUGGAAUCAAGUUGGGGUUUUGAACCAUUGAGGAGAAGUUGGAAAUUGGUGAAAGGAAUGAAAAGGUUGGUUUUGUCAACCAUUUUAUUGUUUGGAUUCUUGGAAGUGAUAUUGCUGAAGAUAAGUUGUUACAGUUUGGUACUAGUUUUAGUGAUUUCUCCUAUACUUGCAAUUCUUAUGCUUUACAAUAUUGUGGUUAAUACGGUGCUGUACAUACACUGCAAGGAGAAGCAUGGUGAAGUUGCAGAUGUGGAAUUUGGGAACGAAAAAGAUGGGGCUAACUUGUCCUUAAUUCCAGUAUAGAAAUGGUUGAUAAAGUUCCUCGUCUAAGUUGUCUUUGCUUUUAGUUUUUUAUCUUGUACUAAUGUCUUUAACUUUGUGAUUAAUUUAAUGUUUGGUUUGUUCAAGUCUUCUCCUUUGUGAUUAAUUAAUUAUGUGGUUGUUCAAUUUUCUUUCUUUUUCAAACCAAGGUAUAUCCUUUGUAAUAACUGAGUUGUAUACAAAGAUCCUUUAAAAAAAUAAAAAUACAAAGAUAAAUUAUACAUUAGAAAUUGUGUGAAUUUUUUUUCUUCAAAAUUUUGAUAAUUAUUUGUUGCCAAUAAAUUAUUAAUAGAAUUUUUAACAUGUGAUUUAUACAUGAUACCGGUUAAAAUAUUGAACUUUUCCGACUCGGUAUUAUUUAAUACACUUGUUGUUAGAGAAUACAAUUAGACACUUAAAUAAAUAAUAGGUUAUUAUCCAUUAUCAUUGUUAUAUAUAGGGUGUGUUUGGUUUGCAAAACAAUAAUUAUUGGAUAGAACAGUACAACAUAAGGUAGAACAGCACAAGACAAAUUUUGUUGAAGCAUUAAGGUGAUGUUGGAAAAUAAAUUGGAAGAUUAAACAUAAUAGUAAUUAUACUUUGAUCUAAUGUGUGAAUUGAAAAAAUAGAGUGUGGAGGUCCCACGUAAAAUAGAACUCACACAUUAGUAGUGUUUAAAUUGUGAUAUUUAAUUUUAAAUACUUGAUAAUUAUAAAAAUAAUAGUAAUUAUUAUUUUUAUUCGAGAAUAUCACUUCCCAUAAAUUUAGCUUAUGGUGGUUGUGAUAAGAAUAAGAAUUUAAUUGAAUUUUUUAUAUUUUCUUCAUUCAAUCCAACAGUUUGUUUCCUCCACUUUUGUGGAUUUGUUUCAGUUGAUCCUAUCCACAAGUGUUGUUGAACUGAUUAAUGGAUAAACUUCAUUUUAAUCUUAUCGAUUAGAGUAACUGUUGUCGCAAUUUAUGCUAAAACAGUUACAGAAUCUCUAUAAAUAGAAGACUCCACUCAGUUCAAAAAACACACCAAAAAGUUUCAUUGAGUUGACGAGUCUUUCAUCUCUCCAUCUCCUUUUUUCUGUCCCUUCGAAAUUAAGAGUGUUCUUAAACCAUAGUCCCUUUUCGGUUUAAUGUCCCUUUGGAAUUAAGAAUGGUCUUAAAAACAUAGUCCCUUCGAUAAUAUAAGUCCCUUCGGAAUAAAGAGUACUAUUAAGAUCAUAGUCCCUUUUGGAAUAAUAAUGUCCCGUCGGAAUUAAAUCUUAACAGUAUAUAAAUAUUCUUCCAAUAUUUUAAUUGAGGAGAAAUUAAAAAAUGGAAAUGGUGGUAUCACCAUAUUUGAGUGGUCGUAGUGCCAUAUUGAUACUUUGGAGAAAUUAAAGUUAGAAUGGUGGUAACACCAUAUUUGAGUGGUCUCAGCACCAUAAUAGAGCGGUAACAAUACCAUAUCCGAAGGUGUAAAUCUCGAAUGGUUUUCUACACUGCAGUAGUUAACCGCACAAUUGUAACUGAGCUUGUUUUAUCCUGGAGGCGGCGUGGUUGAUAGUUGCCUUGCACAAUUUUGGACAGUGCCAUGAAAUGUCUUAAAAAGAGUGAUCUGGUCGUGACUCAACCUAGUAACAACUUCGGUUGAUAAUAGAAUUUGGAAAUCCAAAUACAACAGUUUGGAAAUCCAAAAACAACAAUUUUAAGACGUUUCGAUCUGACUAUAUUAAUUUCAAAUUUUCUAACUUCAUGAUUUUUAAUUUCUUUCUUCUGUAACUUUUCGUUUUUGGUUCUGGUCCCUGUAAUAUAGUCAGGGAUCUUCUAGAAGGCCACCUAAAUUUCAUAUUUAGGUGUUUUUAAUUUCGUCCCUCUGUACCUUUUCGUUUUUGGUUUUGGUCCCUGUAAUAUAGUCAGGGAUCAUCUGUCAGUCCACAUAAGCGUGUUUAGCCAAGUCAGCACGUGUCACAUUACUCAUGUUGUUAGCCAACAAGGCGUUUUUGUAACAGAGUUUGACAGGAGGGACGAAAAGCAAAAAGUUAUUAACUUACAGGGGUUAUUUUAGAACAAAAAAAGAUACAGGGACGAAAACCAAAAACACGCCAAAUUACACGGACGAUUUACAUAUUUAAGCCCUUUUUAAUUUAAUUAUUAUAGCAUAUGAUUUCAGCAGCCUCUUAAAAAAAAAAGCAUAUGAUUUCAGCAAAAAAAAAAAAAAUUAGUAUAUGAUUUUGCUCCCACUUAACAAUAUUUAUGGAUUCGUCCCUGGUUUGAUCCACUUGUUAAAUGGCAUGAACAUAAACCUCGAAUUGUGAAUUAGAUUAGGCACUAGAUUGACCAAACAAGGACAUAAAGAGGAUUCAGAAAAUUCUAAUCGUCAUCAUUUUGUUUUUGAUUAUCUUUUAUUUUCAAUUGCAAACCAAACCCUGAAAAUACCUUAAUUUAUAGUUUUUAUUAAGUAUUGUUGCUUAAAUUGUCGAGUAGAAAACAACGAUACAUUUUUUUUUGAAGGAAGAAAACAACGAUACAUAUGAAGACGAUUGACUUACUACUUUAUAAUUUAUACGAUUUGAUACACUUACCGAAUUUAUCAUCAUAUUGUGAGAUGCUGUAUAAUUGCAAAAACAUUAAAAUUUAUGUUGACCCUCUCAUUUCCCUCUAGUCUCCUUUUGCGUGUGAAAAUCCCUUUAAGAAACUUGGCAUAUCUUAGAAGCAACUUGAUCACUUCAAAGAGAGGAAUAUUUUUUUUUUUUUUUGAACAAUCAAAGAGAGGAAUAUUCAAUUCAACCUUUCUAAAUAUAUCAAAGAUUUCCCUAUCCAUAUACGAUAUAUGCAUGCAUGAUUCAUUUUCCCUUACAUAACUUCCAGACCCCACUACUUGAAAAAUGAGCAUACAAGCAAUCGCGACAGAUCAUAUCACAAAUGUGAAAACUACACCUGCUGCUCGUUAAGAACCUUAUCAAGCACGAGUUUACAACUACUCUAGUAAAAAACCGUAUAAAAAAACUUAAUAGUGAUGAAGCGAAAAAGAGUACAGGACAAUACAAUGAAAAAAACAUAAAAAAUAAGCCCAUAAAAAACGAGGGCAAAAACCAAAUUCUAACAAAAUUAAGCAAUACGCAAAAAGAACCAAUAGAAAGAGCUAAACAACAUAAAAUUACACUACUUGAAUAUCUAAAAAUAUUACCAAAAGUAGCAUGACCACGACUAUUUAUUUUUAUUUUUUUAAAACAAAGACCACAACUAUAUUUUUAUUUUAAUAAAAAAACCAGGACUAUUAUUACUUAGCUUACGUAGUUGAUAUAAAAUAAUGGUUUUCUUUCUUUCAAAAAUAAAAUAAAAUAAUGGAUUUGUCUAACGUAUUGCAAUGUUAAAACAACUAAAAUAGUAACUUUUAAUUGAAAAAUAAUCAUUUAUUAAAAAGUUAUUAUAUUCAUUAAUAUAAAAUCUAUAAGUUCUAAUAAAAAUUUAUUAUUUUAAAUUUUUUAACGCAUGUAAAUUUGCACAUAGAAAAUCCUAAUAUAAAAAGAGAGAGGGAGAGAGAAAGAAAGUGGGUUGUUAUGCAUGUGAUUUCGAUGAAAUUGCUUUCUUUUUUCUCAGAGGACGAUGCAAUAUUCUACUUCUACCUACAAUUUAAGUUGAUUAUUUCUAUUACUUUUCAAUACUUUUUUUUGACCAAAUCUUUAAUACUUGUCACCAGGGAUAUUAUAUCUUAUAAAAACCGAAGUAUACAUGGUGAAAAAGUUCACAAAAGCCUAGUCUCUCUUACACCAUGGCUCCAAAAAUGUGGGAUCUUCUCUCUGAAUCUAAACGCAUAAUAAAUUCUCAACCUCGUCACUACCUUAAUCUCUACCUCAUCUUCCUCCUUCCCCUCUCUUUCCUCUCCCAAAUCUUCAAACACCUUCAACAGCAACCACCCAGAAACCACAGCACAAUCACCUUUUUAUCUAUCAUCUUCUUACUUAUCUCUUCCAUCUUCAGUUAUGGCGCCGUCAUCACCAUCACCUACAGCGUCUUCCACGCCUUCUUUGAUCGACCGGUCAAACUAAAAGAAGCCAUCAAAUCCAUCACCACUUCUUUCUUCCCCCUCUUCGCCACCAGCAUCAUCACUUAUACUCUCUACUUUUUUGUUUCUUUUUUCUUGACGUUUCUCAUUGGAAUUGUAUUGUUUCUCAUCGUUUAUCUAGGCAAUAUCGACCUCAUAAGAGUCAUAGCUAACCCUCAAUUGAUUGCUAUAGUUUUGAUGCUUGUUAUAUUCCCUCUUAUCUUGUAUUUGGAAGUUAACUUGAUUUUGGUGAGAGUGGUUGUAGUGGUGGAAUCAAGUUGGGGUUUGGAACCUUUGAAGAGAAGCUGGAAAUUGGUGAAAGGAAUGAAAUGGUUGGGUUUUUCAACCAUGUUCUUGUUUGUGUCCUUGCAAAUGAUAUUGGCAUGGAUAAGUAGUUAUAGUUGGGUUCUGAUUUUCUUGGUUUCUCCUAUAGCUGCUGUGCUUUCAAUUUACUAUAUUGCUGUUUGCACGUUGUUGUACAUAUACUGCAAAGAGAAACAUGGUGAAGUUGAAGAAGAACUUGAAGUUGGGAAGGAAAAGGACGAGGCUAACUUGUCCUUAAUUCCAUUGUAGAAAUGCUUGAUUUGAUUCUAUUCCUCUUAUGAGUUGUUUUAUUUUGUUUAAUCUUGUAAUGUUUCUAAGUUUGUGAUCAAUAAAUGAUUAAUUUGUCAAAAAAUUAAUUUAGUUUGGAGGAGAUAAUUUCUAGAGUAAGUUUGUAUUUUUUUGGAACUUAUGUAUUUAAUGUUGUGAAAGUUUAAUAAUUUAUAUUUUCAAUAUAAGACUUAUUUUUUAUUUUUUUUAUAGUUUCUUAACUAAUGUCUUAGGACACAAGUUAGCACGACCCUAUAUUUUAAUAUAUAUUUGAUAUUUUAAAUGAAUUAAAAGGACAAUAUUUUUUCAUUGACAAAAAAUUUAAAAAGACCAUGAUAUCAUAUACUAAUGUGUAUGUUCUUUCAAUAUGUUUUUCCUUCAAAAUAUCAAAUAAAUAUUAAAAAAUAAAUUUAACUCUAUAAUCUUUUCCCUAAAAAAAAAAAACUCUAUAAUUUUUUCUUUCAAAAUCAAAUUCAACACUUGCAAACACAAAGGAUUAAUUUAUUUCAAUACUUUUUUCUUUAUAAUAAUCAAUUUACCACACCUACCUAAUUUUAAUAACAUGCAAAAUGAUUCAGGCUAAAAAUUACAGAAAACUCAAAAAAGUCAUGCAUUGAUCAACUAUAUCAACUAUGGCGGGCGAGAAUACAAGUCAGACUAGUGAGUAGUGAAUGACUUUUCAAUACAUUGAUUUUUCAUUUUAUAAUGACUUUUUCAAUAUUGAUAUUUGAUCUAAAAAUGGCACGAAUUCGCUGGUGUAUAGCAGACCACAAUUUUAUUUUUUCUUAGAGGCAGACCACAAAUUUUAUUGUCAAGGAAUGAGAGAAAUUUCACAAUGCUAUGAGACUUUAUAUUUGUACAUUUUCUUGGUUACUAGAUUUGUUGACAUUUUCUUUUCUCUUUAUGUAGACGAAAUGAUCCAAGUAGUUACUAAAACUUACAUACACAAAUCCGAGGAUUGAGUGAACCUAUUGAGCAUAGCAAUAUUAACAUUGUCGGUGGAGCUAAGUCUUAUGAACCAAUUGUCUAAAAUAUUAUGAGAUAUAUUGAUCCAAUAUGAAAAAUAAAUAUAUUUAUAGUGUAAGACUAACUUACUUAUGCACAUCAGAUAAAGUCUUUUCUUUAUAAUUUUUUUUUAGUGAUUUAUUAUUAUUAUUUCAAACUUAAAAAGUUUUAUUUUAAAAAAAGUUUGACCAUCUUAUUUUAAAAAUCGACCUUUUUUUCUUCUUCUGAAUUUAAACACUUAUUUCAUUUUGGAACAUUUUUGCCUACUAACCUAUUUAUUAAUGAUAUGACAUGAAUUAUGUAGGGGCACCGAAUAUCCACAUAAAAAAAAAAAACACAUAUAUCAAGUAAUUAGUUAAUAUCAAACAUCAAUAAAGAUAACCCAAAUUGAGAUAUGAAAAAUUAUAAAAAAUUGUACUCAUUAGAAGAAAAAAAAAUUAAAAAUUAAAUGUACUUUUAGUCAUCAUAUUUUUUUAUAUAAAGUUUUGGCCUCUUGUUUUAAAAUGGUGGAGGACCGAAACUUUAUUAAAAAAAAAAGGUUUAACCCAUUAUUUUAUUACUAGGAUAGGCAAUAAAACGCUUAAGGUAAUGAAGUUCACAAAGUCAUGCAUAUAUAGAUCCAUCCAUCCCACACUCUCCCUACAAAUGCAAUAAUCUCUUCUCUAUUUAGCUUCUACCCAUGGCUCCAAGCAUUUGGAAUGUUCUCUCUGAAUCCAUACACAUAAUAAAUUCUCAACCUCGUCACUACCUCACUCUCUCCCUCAUCUUCCUCCUUCCCUUCUCUUUUCUCAUCCUCAUCUCUAAACUCAUUAUCAAACACCUUCAACAGCAACAACCACCCAUAAUCAUCUCCUUGUAUC
rnacentral:lncRNA from 1 species